CAGCCGCCGCGGGAAUACGUAGGGUGCGAGCGUUAAUCGGAAUUACUGGGCGUAAAGCGGGCGCAGACGGUUACUUAAGCAGGAUGUGAAAUCCCCGGGCUCAACCUGGGAACUGCGUUCUGAACUGGGUGACUAGAGUGUGUCAGAGGGAGGUAGAAUUCCACGUGUAGCAGUGAAAUGCGUAGAGAUGUGGAGGAAUACCGAUGGCGAAGGCAGCCUCCUGGGAUAACACUGACGUUCAUGCCCGAAAGCGUGGGUAGCAAACAGGAUUAGAUACCCGGGUAGUCCCUGUCUCUUAUAC
rnacentral:rRNA from 1 species